GAGGGUAUAGCUCAGUGGUAGAGCACAUGCUGAGCAUGUACGAGGUCAUGGGUUCGUUCCCCAGUACCUCUG
rnacentral:tRNA from 1 species